AGAGUUUGAUCCUGGCUCAGGAUGAACGCUAGCUACAGGCUUAACACAUGCAAGUCGAGGGGAAACGAUAGAGAAAGCUUGCUUUUUCUAGGCGUCGACCGGCGCACGGGUGAGUAACGCGUAUCCAACCUGCCCAUCACUUGGGGAUAACCUUGCGAAAGUAAGACUAAUACCCAAUGACGUCCAUAGAAGACAUCUGAAGGAGAUUAAAGAUUUAUCGGUGAUGGAUGGGGAUGCGUCUGAUUAGCUUGUUGGCGGGGUAACGGCCCACCAAGGCGACGAUCAGUAGGGGUUCUGAGAGGAAGGUCCCCCACAUUGGAACUGAGACACGGUCCAAACUCCUACGGGAGGCAGCAGUGAGGAAUAUUGGUCAAUGGACGAGAGUCUGAACCAGCCAAGUAGCGUGCAGGAUGACGGCCCUAUGGGUUGUAAACUGCUUUUAUAAGGGAAUAAAGUGAGUCUCGUGAGACUUUUUGCAUGUACCUUAUGAAUAAGGACCGGCUAAUUCCGUGCCAGCAGCCGCGGUAAUACGGAAGGUCCGGGCGUUAUCCGGAUUUAUUGGGUUUAAAGGGAGCGUAGGCCGGAGAUUAAGCGUGUUGUGAAAUGUAGACGCUCAACGUCUGCACUGCAGCGCGAACUGGUUUCCUUGAGUACGCACAAAGUGGGCGGAAUUCGUGGUGUAGCGGUGAAAUGCUUAGAUAUCACGAAGAACUCCGAUUGCGAAGGCAGCUCACUGGAGCGCAACUGACGCUGAAGCUCGAAAGUGCGGGUAUCGAACAGGAUUAGAUACCCUGGUAGUCCGCACGGUAAACGAUGGAUGCCCGCUGUUGGUCUGAAUAGGUCAGCGGCCAAGCGAAAGCAUUAAGCAUCCCACCUGGGGAGUACGCCGGCAACGGUGAAACUCAAAUGAAUUGACGG
rnacentral:rRNA from 1 species